rnacentral:lncRNA from 1 species
GGUCCCAGUGCUUGCGGCGUCGCGAGUGUGCGCGUGCGGACCCUUCCCGCGGCGGGGAACUGACUCAAAGUCCAACACUCCCGAGCUUUCGCGGCGAGGCCGACCGCCAGCCCGCCCGUGGGGGCGAACAGGAGCCCCUCCGGCGGCCGCCGUGGACCUAGCUGGGCUCCCCUCGCCCGGGCCUCUCCCCGCGCCCCCGAGCCAGCCGCUGGGGGCCGCGGCGCCACUCCCACGGCUCUGGACGCCCAGGCUCUGGGGGGUUAGCACGGGGGUCGUCCCCCUGCCCGCCCACCGCCCCGGCUGUCGGAACUUGAGCGCACCUCCGACCUCGGGCGCCAGAGGCCUGCGCCCCCUCUCCUUCCGCCCAGCACCUCCAUGCCCUCGGUGCACGAACGCGGCGGCGGCGGCCAGAAGUCCCCCGUGGCUUAUGAAUGACACGGACAGAGAGCCCAGCGACGUGGAUGGGGCAGCUAGGGGCAGCAGCUUGGAUGCGGACCCUCAGUCCUCAGGCAGGGAGAAAGAACCUCUGAAGUAAGCCCUCACCUCUGCAGGUGGGGCUCAGGCCCAGAGACUGGGAUCAGCUGGCUCAGGCAGCUCAGGUCCUGGUUCGUCCCCUAGCCCAGGAGGAUGCUGUGGGAGCUGCAGCAGCGGCAAGAGGGAGAAUGGGGGGAAG